rnacentral:rRNA from 1 species
AUGCGUGACCAACCUGCCCCAUGCUUCGGAAUAGCUCCUGGAAACGGGUGGUAAUGCCGGAUGCUCCGCACUGUCGCAUGAUGGUGUGGGAAAGGGUUUACCGGCAUGGGAUGGGGUCGCGUCCUAUCAGCUUGUUGGCGGGGUGAUGGCCUGCCAAGGCUUCGACGGGUAGCCGGCCUGAGAGGGCGACCGGCCACAUUGGGACUGAGAUACGGCCCAGACUCCUACGGGAGGCAGCAGUGGGGAAUAUUGCACAAUGGGCGAAAGCCUGAUGCAGCGACGCCGCGUGCGGGAUGACGGCCUUCGGGUUGUAAACCGCUUUUGAUUGGGAGCAAGCGAGAGUGAGUGUACCUUUCGAAUAAGCACCGGCUAACUACGUGCCAGCAGCCGCGGUAAUACGUAGGGUGCAAGCGUUAUCCGGAUUUAUUGGGCGUAAAGAGCUCGUAGGCGGUUCGUCGCGUCUGGUGUGAAAGUCCAUCGCUUAACGGUGGAUCGGCGCCGGGUACGGGCGGACUGGAGUGCGGUAGGGGAGACU